UUUUUCCUUUUUUUUUCCUUUUUUUUUUCUUUUCUUUUUGACUUUCUAAGAACAGAAAUCCAAAAGGAAGAAGACGAGUAGUAGACUCAAAAAACAACAACAAAAAAACA
rnacentral:ribozyme from 1 species